rnacentral:rRNA from 1 species
GUCUACGGCCAUGCCACCCUGAACAAGCAUCAUGUCUGAUCUCGGAAGCUAAGUAGGGCCAGGCUUGGUUAGUACUUGGAUGGGAGACCACCUAGGAAGACCGGGUGCUGCAUAAA